GACGACAGUUAAAAAAAUUAGCAGUUCAGCUAUCGGGCCCACUUGGCAACUGAACGUCUUACGUAUAAGACAUUGCCAGAGGCCCCGAACUCCUUCGGGGUGGCGGGCAGCCUAGCAGCAAGAUAUAUAGGAGAAGGAUUCAUCUAGUGGCACAACUCAGAAACAGUGCCUGUGAGAAGUGCCACUGCCCAAAGAGAGCACUAAGUACUACCAGGUUCUAACCAUCAUCUCGCUGUGAUCGGGCCCUACUUGAAGAACUGUCAGACUUCUUGAGAGAAGGACGACAGCAGAAAACAACCAUGGACAGAAAACUUCUCUUACUAGUGGUGGUUACGUCACUUCUCGUCUCCAUCUGCAGUGUUGUCGAGACGCGCCAUUUACCGGGGACCGUUGGCGACUGCUCUGGCAAGUGUUACCGCCGGGAUCAACUCGGGAUCUGCCGAAGGCGCUUCUGGUGUGAGGAGGACGAUCCUACGACGGACACCGUGGUCAUCAUCGCCCCUUGCAGGAAGAGAUGUCACACGUACGUGAGAGGGAAAUGUAGGCUUAUGUUUUCCUGUGUGAUGGGUCGCUAAUGGCAAGAAGCUGAAAACAAGAAGAGUAGGCACGGCAUUUGUUUACAUCAGUGUUACCAAACGCUUGUGUGAGUACAUUGUUUAUGCCCUUGCGUAUUCGUGUGUGGGUGAACACAAUGUUGCAGGUAUCCUAUAACGAGGCAUUUACGAAUUACUCAUACAAUUAGUUAGGUAAGUACAGUACAAAUUGUAUCUUGAUAGUACUUUAGUGAUAGAUAUUCUUGCUGCAAAUAAAAACAUGCUAUCGUAAGCAAGGACACUUACCUAUAGGUGAAUUCAUUUUGUACAUCAGAGGGGAACAUAUGGUAAUGAUUAAAUCCUGUAUUUUGCUUAGCUUCUCGCUCAAAUGUGGAAAGUUACAUAAUUACGCAAUUAGACAGGUUAAUAUAGAUAUAGGCUAUCUGACGUUAUCACAGGUUAACAUAUUUGUGUAUGUAAACAUAUAUUUUACAUUCAUGAAAGAGCGUGUGUAUGUUUAUACUUCCAUACUUUUAUAUCUCAUUGUUAUUUUCCAUGUGGAAUGAUUGUGUAUGUGUAAUAAUGCUGUUUUAUCAACUUGCCACUGUUGCAAUACUUUAUUUAAACUUACGGCUUUAUAUAGUCUAGCUUGUCUCACAUUUAUUAAUUUACCCAGCAAUGUAUACAAACUGAUCCCAGUCAUGUAAUCCAAGAGUAACAUAUCGAUUUAGAAGAGAGAGAGAGAGAGAGAGAGAGUGAGAGAGAGAGAGAGAGAGAGAGAGAGACUACUGUGAGGAAAGAGGAUAUUCUUUGUUUAUUUACGAAUAUUACAAUUUCGACCGUUCCUAUAGCUUGUAAAUGAAUAACUAUUCUUCAUAGUUAGGUAACUGCAAUUCCAUCUUGACGUAAAUACAAAACAGCAAGUCCCACGUAUAUAUAUAUAUAUAUAU